rnacentral:tRNA from 1 species
AAAGAUUUAGUUAAAAAAUAACAUUAAUUUGUCAAAUUAAAAUUAAUAAUAAUUAUUCUUUU